AUUGAACGCUGGCGGCAUGCCUUACACAUGCAAGUCGAACGGCAGCGGGGGAGAAGCUUGCUUUUCCUGCCGGCGAGUGGCGAACGGGUGAGUAAUACAUCGGAACGUGCCCUGUAGUGGGGGAUAACUAGUCGAAAGAUUAGCUAAUACCGCAUACGACCUGAGGGUGAAAGUGGGGGACCGCAAGGCCCCAUGCCAUAGGAGCGGCCGAUGUCUGAUUAGCUAGUUGGGGGGGUAAAGGCCUACCAAGGCGACGAUCAGUAGCUGGUCUGAGAGGACGAUCAGCCACACUGGGACUGAGACACGGCCCAGACUCCUACGGGAGGCAGCAGUGGGGAAUUUUGGACAAUGGGCGAAAGCCUGAUCCAGCAAUGCCGCGUGUGUGAAGAAGGCCUUCGGGUUGUAAAGCACUUUUGUCCGGAAAGAAAUGGCUCUGGUUAAUACCUGGGGUCGAUGACGGUACCGGAAGAAUAAGGACCGGCUAACUACGUGCCAGCCGCCGCGGUAA
rnacentral:rRNA from 1 species